rnacentral:rRNA from 1 species
AACGCGAAGAACCUUACCUACCCUUGACAUCCUCGGAAUCCGGCAGAGAUGCUGGAGUGCCUUCGGGAACCGAGUGACAGGUGCUGCAUGGCUGUCGUCAGCUCGUGUCGUGAGAUGUUGGGUUAAGUCCCGUAACGAGCGCAACCCCUAUCUUUAGUUGCCAGCGGGUCAUGCCGGGAACUCUAAAGAGACUGCCGGUGAUAAGCCGGAGGAAGGCGGGGACGAGGUCAAGUCAUCAUGGCCCUUACGGGUAGGGCUACACGCGUGCUACAAUGGACGGUACAAAGGGCAGCUAAGCCGCGAGGUGGAGCAAAUCUCUUGAAAGCCGUUCUUAGUCCGGAUUGGAGUCUGAAACUCGACUCCAUGAAGUUGGAAUCGCUAGUAAUCGCGGAUCAGAACGCCGCGGUGAAUACGUUCCCGGGCCUUGUACACACCGAUAGC